UACGUAGGGACCGAGCGUUGUCCGGAUUCAUUGGGCGUAAAGGGCGCGUAGGCGGCUUGGCAAGUGGAAGGUGAAAUCCCUCGGCUUAACCGAGGAACUGCCCUCCAAACUGCUUUGCUUGAGGCCGGGAGAGGUGAGUGGAAUUCCCAGUGUAGCGGUGAAAUGCGUAGAUAUUGGGAGGAACACCAGUGGCGAAGGCGGCUCACUGGACCGGUUCUGACGCUGAUGCGCGAAAGCCAGGGGAGCAAACGGG
rnacentral:rRNA from 1 species